rnacentral:rRNA from 1 species
UACGAAGGGGGGCUAGCGUUGCUCGGAAUGACUGGGCGUAAAGGGCGCGUAGGCGGUUUGGACAGUCAGAUGUGAAAUUCCUGGGCUCAACCUGGGGGGCUGCAUUUGAUACGUUUUGGACUAGAGUGGGGGAAGAGGGUCGUGGGAAUUCCCAGUGUAGAGGUGAAAAUUCGUAGAUAUUGGGAGGAACACCAGUGGCGAAGGCGGCUCACUGGUCCUUACUGACGCUGAGGUGCGAAAGCGUGGGGAGCAAACAGGG